AUUGAACGCUGGCGGCAGGCCUAACACAUGCAAGUCGAGCGGAUGAAGGGAGCUUGCUCCUGGAUGCAGCGGCGGACGGGGGAGUAAUGCCUAGGAAUCUGCCUGGUAGUGGGGGAUGACGUCCGGAAACGGGCGCUAAUACCGCAUACGACCUGAGGGAGAAAGUGGGGGAUCUUCGGACCUCACGCUAUCAGAUGAGCCUAGGUCGGAUUAGCUAGUUGGUGGCGUAAAGGCCUACCAAGGCGGCGAUCCGUAACUGGUCUGAGAGGAUGAUCAGUCACCCUGGAACUGAGACACGGUCCCGACUCUUACGGGAGGCAGCAGUGGGGACUAUUGGACAAUGGGCGAAAGCCUGAUCCAGCCAUGCCGCGUGUGUGAAGAAGGUCUUCUGAUUGUAAAGCACUGUAAGUUGGGAGGAAGGGCAGUAAGUUAAUACCUUGCUGUUUUGACGUUACCAACAGAAUAAGCACCGGCUAACUUCGUG
rnacentral:rRNA from 1 species